CCUAACAAUUCUCUUCUUUCGUUUCUUCCCUACACUGCCUCCAUUCAUCCCCUCAGUACUUUCUCCUUCUUCCCUCUACUCUGUCAUUCUGCCCUGCUCUUUUCCUCAGGCAGAUAUAAAGGCAGGUCCCAUUGGAGGGAGAGGGCUUGUGUAAUCUCUGGUUGCACAUAAGCACCGGAGAGUUAUUACUUCAGCUGGAAAGGCACCACGAACGCGUAAAGGACAAACUUUGGAAUAACGAGAGGAAGAAGGAAUACCUCUGAGACAGGAAGGGAGGGAGACGCAGAAAGAGUUUGGAGCUGGGGUGCAGGACACAGACCAUGCCGGGCUCUGUGGUACUGCUGCUGGCCCUGUUGGUCCUGUCCACAGGAAGUGAUGCCAAGAGAAUCAGGAAAAGAGGACUCAACCAUAAGGACUACGAGUACCCCAACCACCCCCAGUCCACACAGCACCAGAAGAAUGACCGGUGUCCACCGCCUCCCCAGAUGCUGCCAGAGAGAGCCUGUGAGGUGCCGGGCUGCCGCUCAGACUCAGAGUGUGAGCGCCAUAAACGCUGCUGCUACAAUGGAUGCAUUUACGCCUGCCUGGAGUCGGUCCAGCCUCCACCAGUGUUGGACUGGCUGGUGCAGCCAAAGCCUCGGUGGUUGGGGGGCAACGGCUGGCUGUUAGACGGCCCUGAGGAGGUUCUGCAGGCUGAGGCCUGCAGCACAACGGAGGAUGGAGACGAGCCUCUUCACUGUCCUACAGGCUACGAGUGCCACAUUAUCAACCAAGGAAACCUUGCCGCUGGCAUCCCGAACCGGGGACAGUGCAUUAAGCAACGUGGAAAUUCCGAUGGACGUGGUCUGAGGCACAAAUACUUCAAGGACUACAAGGAUUACUUAGGUAAGUGAGGUACCAGCUCGAAUAAUGCAGUGGGCUACGAAAAACAUCAUCAGAAGCAUCUGGGAUGAAAUCAACCUGACCUCAUCCUCAGCUACGACCAUAACUCAACCUCAGACAUCAGCUCAGUCCUGUUCGAUCUGCUCGCACCACAACUGAACCAGCAUCAGAUCUGACCUUUUUACAAGACCUACAGCUGCUACCUCCUCUUUGCAAAGCCCCGUAUCUCAGCCUGUCUUCUGCCUUGAAGAGACAAGUCUGACGUACCUUCAAUACACAGCCAAAGAAAUUAGUGCUUUUUUUUUGUGUCUCUGCCUGGUGUUUGUGAAAGGAUGGAGCAGAGGAUGUUGAUAAUGAAGCGGCGGAGAGGAGAGAGUGUGCACCAAAGCUGUUCAUCAAAUGUCUCAAAAGGAACCCAUGCCAUUUUUUUUUACUUCGUACACAACCUUCUCCCUCCCUGCAACUCAUUCCUAUUCUCAUAAAACACACCCUCUAACCUUGAGGCUGGUCUGCAGAGAAAAUCAAGACCAUGUGGCCGUAUGACUUAUUGUGUCUCUCUUGUUCUCAGAAGGACGAUGCUCAAAUUUCCUGAUCUGAAAUCUGGAAAGUUUUAUAGACAAAAUUCCAACUGCAGUGGUUCUCAUCUUUGAAUCAAAUCCAAAUGUGGUUUAAUAUUCAAACUAAUAAAUCUCACUAAAAGAAUAAGUGCCGUACGAGUGUGUGGAUUGUGUCGGUUUUAAAGGAUUUAGAACAGCUGUAGAUUAGUUACGGCCAACAGAUGCUGACCGUCAAGUCAUGACUAUGAAAAGCAAAAGCAAAAUAAGAAAUACAAUUGUUUUGUCGAGAGGUUCAUUUUUUAGGGAUGCAGAUUUAAAGGGAUACUCCACCUGUGACAAUAUAAACAUUUUGAUACUGAAAGAUAGAUUUGGGGUGGAUUAUCCCUUCAAAAUGAAUCUCUGUAUAUAUCUGUAACUAAUGUCCUGAAAUAAGUGUAGUGCAGUAAGAUUGUUCAAACAUUUCAUAAUUUCCAUUAUCAUACUGCAUCAUUUCAAAAGAAUAGUCUUUAUGUUAAACUGCACAUUAUCACAUCCCCUGUUGCAGUGCAGACAUGAUAAUAAAUUGGGCUGGUCUUUUGUGUUAUUUUCAAAUUUAACUUGCUUCAGUUAAACUUAGAUUGUGUCUGUUAUCAAUUCAAAUGGUGCUCAGUUUCAUUACUGCCUAUAACAACAAUAACAGGAGAAUAAGCUGGUCACAUAACUAUAAUUUAACCAUUCACUGUGCAGAGCUAAAGUGAUGUCUGAAUGUUGCUACCUGACUGGUGCUGUAAUGUUGCCUUGUUUAUUCUUAAUAAACCACAUUGUUGAAAUCGG